rnacentral:rRNA from 1 species
GACGAACGCUGGCGGCGUGCUUAACACAUGCAAGUCGAGCGGAAGGGCGCUGCGUUUGUGUCUUUCUCGAUUGCCGAGGGCGGGAGUAACACGUGAGUAUCCUCUACUUGACUGUGUGGGAACUCCACGAAACUGGGGCUAUUACCCGAUAUGAUCUCCUGCUCCAUGUGGGGGGUUGGAAAGUGUCGGCGGUUGGGGAUGGACUAGCUGCUUAUCAGCUGGUUGGUGUGGUAGUUGCGGACCAGGCCUUUGACGGGUAGGCGGCCUGAGAGCGUGACCGGGCACAUGGGGACUGAGAUAGGGACCAGAAGCGUACGGGAGGCAGUAGUGGGGAAUCUUGCACAACGGGCGGAAGCGUGAUGCAGAAACGCCGCGUGCGGGAUGACGGCCUUCGGGUUGUAAACAGCUUUCGAAUGUGACGAAGCGUGAGUGACGGUAAUGGGUAAAGAAGCACCGGCUAACUACGUG